UAUUCCUGAACACCUGAGUGCCUUGUACACUCUUUAACACAGAUCUAACCGUGGGAUUGAAGAGGCAAGUCUACCACAGUGGUCAGAGGCUGAGCUGAUAAGAACUAAUGCGUCAUGUAUACAAGACAAAACAGUAUCUACGUCAUCGUCCUCAAAUUUAUGAUGAUUUCCGAACAUGAUGGAGAAAAUUAUAUUGCAAACAGCUCUGCUGAGACAGUUACGAGGGUCAAAGACUGAUUCUAGAAAAUAUGAAGAAAAAUAAAUAAAUAAAGUUUUAAUCAUUAAA